AACGGAAAAUGAUGUAUUCCGUAUUUUCAAUCAACCCACCUGAAAACUUCAUGACUUUAGUGGCUUUUCGCCGUGGAUCCCCCGUCUGGAAAGGUUUCGUAUUGCGGCAGGACUUGACACCCAGGAAGAAAGGAGGAUCUAGAGGUCUCCAGUUAUUGGCCCUGAGUUGAUGAAGCUCAUCAAACUUCAAGCUGAUGUUCUCAAUGGACAACUGAAGCAUAUCCCAGAAACCAGCCAGCUGUCAUUGCAGCCAUGAAUCAUCUCUUCCCUCCUUCUCCACCUGGACGGGAAUCUUCAACUCUCGCCGUUUCUCAGAGAGACUCAUGUGAAGUCCACCUCACCACCAAACCAGAGGAGACCAACCAGACUGUCCUCUCUUCUAAGUCUUUGGAUCACUAUCUGGCCCCACGGACUCCAACACAAGACUCUGGAGGCUGAAAGCAGCUGUAGGAUAUUUAAGUUGCUCUGAAGUUGAUUCGAACAGCCAUGAACCACUGUUCAUCCUCCAGCUUUGCUUUGACUCAAGAAAUGCUUCACUUCAGGCAACACUUCAGGAAAUCUUGCAAGAAUUUUGGCUCUGCUCAGCCGUCUGACAUGCGUGUGCAGCAGCAGCUCUGCUUCCCCGUCCUCCACGGAGCGGCCUCUGCUGAAGGCUUCUCGCAUAGACGGAACUCAAAAAGCUGGCAUCCGUCACAUUGUUCACAUGUAAAAACCUGCUGGUGGAUGAUGCAACAAUAAUAAAUAAAGUCUGGGGAAACAUUAUUCGUUUUUUUUUUGUUUUUUUUUUCAUUUUACACUCGGCAAUAAAGCUAUUUCCAUGACCCGUCAUCACAACUGUGGUUUUAGACACAUAUUUGGACCAAAGUAAUUUAAUUAGUUCACAAAAUUACACGAAAAUGCUUGAAAACGAUCUACUGGUACUUCACUUUAUGAUGUUUUAGAAGCAAAUUGAGAGCAUUUCCUCCUUCAUAUCCAAACAUUCAAAACGUUUGGAUCUAAAUACAUGUACAGCUGCUACAUCAACCUAUGGGGAUGUAUUGUGAUAGUAUUUCCAGAAUACUGGAUGAAUAUAUUAUUUCAGAUUUAUUUGUAAAAUCUUUAAACAGGAAGUCUACUGCCUCCAAAAAAUCUGCUUGUUGCAGUUGACUUUUGGCUGGGAUGUGUUUUUUGGUGAUUGAUGUCUGGUUUUACAGAGGUUUCCCUACAAGCUUCUCUUUUCUUUUGUAAGCCCCAGGCUGCAUGUGCACAACAAGCACACAACAUUUUUAUCAAAACAUGAAGACGAAAUAAUUCUU